rnacentral:rRNA from 1 species
UACGGGGGGGGCAAGCGUUGUUCGGAAUUACUGGGCGUAAAGGGCUCGUAGGCGGCCAACUAAGUCGGACGUGAAAUCCCUCGGCUUAACCGGGGAACUGCGUCCGAUACUGGAUGGCUUGAGUUCGGGAGAGGGAUGCGGAAUUCCAGGUGUAGCGGUGAAAUGCGUAGAUAUCUGGAGGAACACCGGUGGCGAAGGCGGCAUCCUGGACCGACACUGACGCUGAGGAGCGAAAGCUAGGGGAGCAAACGGG